ACACACACUCAGCACAAUUUGGUCAUUUCACCCUUAUCCUCCUUCCUAUGUGCCACAUCCCGUUCUCACACGAAUGACACAACACAGGUGUCGGCCACACGUGCCACUCCCACUCAUACUCCAUCAUCACUGUCGUCGAUGAACCCCCUUCUCUCUCCCUCUAAAUUCGUCAGUCAAAUCCAACACUCCAUCUGCUUCAAACAUAUAUUCAGUAUUUCUGAAGGGAGAGAGAAAGUGAAAGGUUUUCAAUUUUGUUUCCAUAUCACAACUUUACAGUUCAACACUUGAAUACUUUCUCUCUCUAUCACUAAGCUGCAAUUAUACGGAUCAAAUCUACCACCGCUACUGUCACCGCCAGGUACUGUUUACCAAAAAAUUGCUUUACGUCAUUAAUUUUAUUUCUGUCCUUAAUAGUAUGACCAUAAGCAUGCUUACUCGAAAAUAAACCAAAAUUUCCUUUGCCUGUUCGAAUUUAGCUGUUUCUUUGGGAAAUUAAGAAGUUAAAAAUGUUUUUAGCUGUUUGUACUACGUGCUUUGUAUAUUGUACUUGUGAUUUUGCUGUUUCUGGUAAUGAGCGGAUCUGUUGACAAAUUUUGAUCAACCUUUUCUCAACAAUUCAAAAGUAAAACUGAUUUUUGGAUUAAUCCGUUAGUUUUUCUACAGCUUACCAGAUAUGCAUAUUGUCUAUUUUGAUGUUACCAUAUUUAUGUGUCUCUUAUUUAUGUGAUGAUUUCUUGCUACCAAUAUUUUGUUGUCAUCAUGUGCAAUUACUGUAGUGGCAAUGUAGUCAUAUGGCUUGUCUCAACUGGUAAUCCAUUUUCAAAAAUGUUGAGAAGUAAUAAAAUUGGAUGCUCAAGGUCUAUUAAUAAUGGGGUGCUGUAAUUCUUGCAACUGACAAUUGACAUUUUUGAGUAGCUCAAAAUUGGUAAUAGUGAGAGUUAUUAAAAACGACGAAUAAGUGAGAUAGGAGAUACGAUAGGCUUUCCAAUCAGGAACAUAGAAAUUGAAAGAAUCAAUCAAUCAAUGUUUGGAUUUCAAUCUUCAAUAGCCUGUAAUGGUAGCAACUUUUCAUGGCAUCCAUAGUUUCCAAAAGCAUUUUACUCCUGAUUUUGCAUAUUGUGAAUCAUUUAGAGGCUACUGUACUGACAAUUGUCUAGCUCGUGACCUGAUGUCACUGUGAUAGUAAACAGAAGAAAAGGGGGAAAAAGGCUGCCAACUCACCUUUUUUAUUUUGGUGUCACAUGGAACCUAACAUCACAUUUUUCCCUCUCUAGUUGUCACGUCUAUUAUUUUCAUUUAUCCAAUUUUAAGUUUCCAGGGAUGCUACUCUUAAUAGUUGUGAAUAGGUUUGUGAAUAAUGCAUAGUAAUACUUCACAGAUUCUUUUAGACUCUCUUUGCAUGUAGAUGGUUGUUAUUGGAUGUUAUGUUAAAUAAAUAAAGCAGAGUAGUUCUUUUGUAUUCUAGGAAGUAGAAAAAAAAUUGGAAUGCCUAUAAGCGUCAAUUCAAGGAUUGUAUUUUUUAUUCUAAGUUAACGAGAAUAAUCAUAGUUGAAGUGUCACCAAAGUACACCUGUCUUGGUUUUGCUGUAUGGAAAAUAAUUUUAUAAAAUAUGCUUGUGUAAAAGUGAUAAAUCAAGUAUAAAAUUAUCCUAAAUUCACAAAUGGUAUAUGCUUCUUAUGGAUUUGCAAAGUUCCUAUGUUGGUAGAGAAAGAAAAAUGAAGCAACAGUGGCUAACUUAAUGAACUAUCAGAGUGCUUCUCCAUGAAUGAACUAUUUGUUUUGACAACAAAAAAGCAUAAAAAAUGGUUUUGUUGAUGCAAGAUGUUGAUUGUGGUGUAAAUUUUCAUGGGAAAAGGAGAAACAAAGACACAGAAUUAUUGAAACUGGUGGAGUGCACCUAAAAAUGAAA
rnacentral:lncRNA from 1 species